rnacentral:snRNA from 1 species
GGAUGUGAGGGCGAUCUGGCUGCGACAUCUGUCACCGCACUGAUCGUCAGGGUUGCUUCAGCAGACCCGGCUGACCAGGCGGGGUCCCUUCCUCCCUCACCGCUCGUGUGCGUCCCUCCCGAAGCUGCGCGAUCGGUUGCAGAUGCCCGCCUUCCCCAAAUAGAGGAGGGCUGGUCUUUGUCAAGGGUAUACCAGUAGCUGCACUCCCCUGCUAGAAACAAGCUCUCAAAAUAAAAAAACAAAAAUAAAAAUCAGGGAUUAGCUCCAAGCGUUUCAUCCCCAAGU